UAUCUUUAUGGUAAAUGUGAGAUGCAGUGUAUGGUAUGUCAAAUUUCUAGUAUGAGAAAUUAACGAUUUAAGUCCUUCUUAAAUGAGGCCAUUUACCCAAAGAGGGUGCCAGGCCCGUAUAACGUUAAUGAUUACUAGAUGACAUUUCCAAAGAGUCGUGUUGCUUGAUAGUGCAGCACUAAGUGGGUGGUAAACUCCAUCUAAAACUAAAUAUAACCAUGAGACCGAUAGUAAACAAGUACCGUGAGGGAAAGUUGAAAAGAACUCUGAAUAGAGAGUUAAAUAGUACGUGAAACUGCUUAGAGGUUAAGCCCGAUGAACCUGAAUAUCCAUUAUGGAAAAUUCAUCAUUAUGAUUUUAAUAUUUAUAAUAUUAUAAUAAUGGUGUGCAUUUUUUCCAUAUAAGGACAUUGUAAUCUAUUAACAAAAUGUAUUUAUUAUAAGAUCAUUACUUUAGUUUAUUCAAAUUAUUUUGCUUGCAAUUUAACAUAGAAUAAAUGUUUUUGAUUUGAUAAAGUGUUGAUAGAUUUAUUAUAUAUAGUGCUUGAAUAUAUUUAUUUAUAUUCUAUAAUAGCGUAUUGAUCAAUGAUUUUUAUGUUCAUUAUUAUGCACUUAUAUGAUUAACAAUGCGAAAGAUUCAGGAUACCUUCGGGACCCGUCUUGAAACACGGACCAAGGAGUCUAACAUAUUUGCAAGUUAUUGGGAAUUUAAAAACCUAAUAGCGAAAUUAACAUAACUUUAUUUAUAAUGGGAUUAGUUUUUAGUACUAUUUUUUCGAAUAGUCUAUUAAUUCAAUCCCGGGGCGUUCUAUAUAGUUAUGUAUAAUAAUAUUUAUAUUAUUUAUGCCUCUAACUAGAGCGUACCUUGAGCAUAUAUGCUGUGACCCGAAAGAUGGUGAACUAUACUUGAUCAGGUUGAAGUCAGGGGAAACCCUGAUGGAAGACCGAAACAGUUCUGACGUGCAAAUCGAUUGUCAGAAUUGAGU
rnacentral:rRNA from 1 species